GUUUACAAAGCUAUGAACAGAGCAGGAGAUAAGAAAUUACAAGUUAAACAGUAGUUUUCAUACAGGAAGUGUAAACAUUAGAUAACUCUUUACAGGACGUGUUUUGGAAGGCUGUGUAAGUCACAUGCAGGGAGGUGUGACUAGGGCUGUAUAAAUAAAGUGAUUUAACUCCUAAAUGGCAGAGAAUUGAGCAGUGAGACUGCGGGAAC